rnacentral:rRNA from 1 species
CCGGCGACCGGCGCACGGGUGAGUAACACGUAUGCAACCUGCCCUUUACUAUGGGACAGCCCGUCGAAAGGCGGAUUAAUACCGUAUGUUGUCAUGUUGAUGCAUAUUUUCAUGACCAAAGGCUUCGGCCGGUAAAGGAUGGGGAUGCGUCUGAUUAGCUUGCCGGCGGGGUAACGGCCCACCGGGGCGACGAUCAGUAGGGGUUCUGAGAGGAAGGUCCCCCACAUUGGAACUGAGACACGGUCCAAACUCCUACGGGAGGCAGCAG